GAUUACUCCUAUUUUGGUGUUGAUUCUGUAUUUUUUUCAGAGUUUAACUGAUGUCAUAUAUGAAAUUUUUAUUCUACUCUUUUCAUUAAGCAUAAAACAUUUUUUGCAGAUGCCUUCUGUUCUCCGCCACAAUAACUCAACGUAGAAAUGAAGGAAGACCACCCAAAUGAGAAACAGUAUUCAGAGCUUGCUACAGCAAGGGAGUCAGCACCCUCACCGGUGUGGGUAGGCGCAAGGACCCAGGGGGUGGAAAACGGGGAAGGCUCCAGCUGGUUCUGACUGCAGGCUGCUGGAAACUGGAGCACGUUGUCACUUCAAACUCAGGUUCUUGCUGAUGGAACUGCCUGAGUCCGUGCCGUUCGUUCUUCAGAACACUGAUUUCCAUUUCUUCCUAGUAUUCUUCAGGGAACACUAGGGAAUGAAUAAUAAAUCACCUGCGUGAAGAGAUUCCUUUCUUGGGGUAGCAGUAUUGCCAGGUUGCUUUCCACGGUUUUGCAUUUGACCGUUCUCCUAGCACCCUGUAAGAGGGGUAGCCCUCCCUGCACCGUCAGGAUUGGGUGUUUUCUUCAACGGGAUGGUUUCUGCUGUUAAAAGCGAGUGUCGGCCGGGUGCAGUGGCUCACGUCUGUAAUACCAGUACUUUGGGAAGCCGAGGCGGGUACAUCACCUGAGGUCAGGAGUUCGAGACCAGCCUGGCCAACGUAGAGAAACACCGUCUCUACUAAAACUACAAAAAUUAGCUGGGCGUGGUGGCGGGCAUCCGUAAUCCCAGCUACUCGAGAGGCUGAGGCAGGAGAAUCACGCCACUGCACUCCAGCCUGGGCGACAGAGCGAGACACUAUGUCUCCAAAAAAAAAAAAAAAAAAACUUUGUGAUAAUUAUUCAUUGUGUAAAAGUUGGAAAAAAAAAUUAAAAUUACAACCCUAGACACACAGGGUUGUACGGUGGGAGGUAA